AACGUAGGAGGCAAGCGUUAUCCGGAGUAACUGGGCGUAAAGGGCGGGUAGGCGGUUGUGUAAGUUGGUUAUGAAAGCUCCUGGCUAAACUGGGAGAGGUUGACCAAGACUGCAGAACUUGAGUGGAGAAGAGGUAAACGGAAUUCCGCGUGUAGUGGUGAAAUGCGUAGAGAUGCGGAAGAACACCAGUGGCGAAGGCGACGUGCUGGGUUGCACCUGACGCUGAGAUGCGAAAGUGUGGGGAGCAAACGGG
rnacentral:rRNA from 1 species